CCCCCCCCCCAAACAUCGUAAAGAAGAGGAGUGUUUCUGGUUACUGAUCCUGACUUUCAAACCCCCGAGCUAUCAAAGAGAAAAUCUCCCUGCCAGGUGAUGAUGUCAUAAUGGUCUUUACAGCAGCCGACCAAUCAGCAGCUUCACUUCAAUUCAAUACCUAUCGCUCUGCAGGCCUCGAGGAAGAUGAUGAUGAAACAGUAACGCAACAGAGCUAAAGACACUCCAUCACGCGCCCUCGUUUCCUGCAGGACAGAGGGAAGGAGGGUGAUGACGUGUAAACAAUCCCGAUGGAACCGAAGCAACGAAUUCCCGCCGCGGACUCCCGAUGGCAGACGCGUGCGGGUCUAGACGGCGGCACAGGACGUCAUCGGGCGUCACUCCACACCUGCAUCGCGCUCAGGUCUCUCUCACAGUCGGAUCGGAUUAGUAUAAAACCCAAACGUCCCGUCCUGCAGGAAGGAAGCGUCGAGUCGAGUCGCGCUCUCCUCGUUAAUGUUUGAUGAAGAAACUCGAGCGGCAUGAAAACCCCACCGGUCUGCUGACUCUCUGUGGCACCGAGGAACGCUGAAAAUCUCCCGCUCUUCAUCCAGACGGACCUGAGACGGGCCUCGUCCCAAAUCGGGAGUGGACACUUCAGAGAGUAAAUGACAGCGACAGCGACAGGUUUGUGACACAAACUUUUUAUUUAAAAAGAGUGUGUGGUUUGGGACACGCCCACAUGAUGGUGUGUAUGUGGCCUAUAUGGUGACUAGAGAGUGUGUGGUUUGGGACACGCUCACAUGAUGGGGUUUAUGUUUCCUGUAUAGUGAGUAAAGAGUGUGUGGUUUGGGACACGCCCACAUGAUGGUGUUUAAGUUUCCUAUAUAGUGAGUAAAGAGUGUGUGGUUUGGGACACGCCCACAUGAUGGUGUUUAAGUUUCCUAUAUAGUGAGUAAAGAGUGUGUGGUUUGGGACACGCCCACAUGAUGGUGUUUAUGUUUCCUAUAUAGUGAGUAAAGAGUGUGUGGUUUGGGACACGCCCACAUGAUGGUGUCUAUGUGGCCUAUAUAGUGAGUAAAGAGUGUGUGGUUUGGGACACGCCCAUAUGAUGGUGUUUAAGUUUCCUAUAUAGUGAGUAAAGAGUGUGUGGUUUGGGACACGCCCACAUGAUGGUGUUUAUGUGGCCUAUAUAGUGAGUAAAGAGUGUCUGGUUUGGGACACGCCCACAUGAUGGGGUUUAUGUUUCCUAUAUAGUGAGUAAAGAGUGUCUGGAUUGGAACACGCCCACAUGAUGGUGUUUAUGUGGCCUAUAUAGUGCGUAAUGAGUGUGAGGAUUGGAACACGCCCACAUGAUGGUGUUUAUGUGGAGUAUAUAGUGCGUAAUGAGUGUGUGGAUUGGGACACGCCCACAUGAUGGUGUUUAUGUGGAAUAUAUAGUGCGUAAUGAGUGUGUGGAUUGGGACACGCCACGUGAUGGUGUCUAUGUGG
ensembl:lncRNA